CAUGGCUCAGGGUGAACGCUGGUAACGUGGAUACCGGCAUGCAAGUCACGGGGGCCGCAAGGCAACCGGCGAAYGGCUUAGUAACACGUGGGUACAUACCUUAGAGUGGAGCAUAGCUCGUUGAAAAACGGGGUAAUUCUCCAUAGCAUCGCAAGAUUAAAGCAGUAAUGCGCUCUAAGAAUGGCCUGCGGCCUAUCAGAUUGUUGGCGAGGUAAAGGCUCACCAAGUYUAUGACGGGUAGGGGGCGUGAGAGCGCGACCCCCAAGAAUGGCACUGCGACACGGGCCAUACUCCUACGGGAGGCUGCAGUCGAGAAUCUUCCGCAAUGGACGAAAGUCUGACGGAGCGACGUUACGUGAAA
rnacentral:rRNA from 1 species